rnacentral:sRNA from 2 species
AAGACGUACAGGCCUAAUCGCCGGCCCCCGCGGUCGGCGAGCCGGGGACCCACCUCCUCGGGGUGAAUCCCGCCGCAGCCGCGGCGGGUAGGGAGAUCUUCCACGCUCCCGAACCCGUCAGCUAACCCGGUCCGCACGCAUCAGGAAGAAACU